AGGGGGAAGGCAGCUGCCAGUUCUCUCCUUGGUCUGCAGGACAGAGUUCAUUUCUGAGCUCAAACACCUUCCCUGUUGGAGCCAGGACCUGUCGAGUCCUCUGCCAGUAUCCAGGCAAUUUUCCCUGGGCCUGGGAUGUGGGAACUCGAAAGAACGUGCGUCACACUUUUGAGAACUCAUUUUGGCAGUCCCACCUUUGCUGCUGCAGAAGGACCUUUGAGAGUGCAGAACUUUCUGGUAGGCUGCAGGUAAAGCGCCAUCCACCAAAGCAGUAACUUAAUUUCCUGCCACGGGCUGGAUGUUUUCUGUGGGAGAGAACCACCUGACACUGAUAAGGUUUGUUUUGUUUAAUCAGCUAUAUGGAAACCCAGGGGAACCCAGGGAUUCAACGGGCAAGUGAGGAAAUUCGAUCGCCGGGGCUGACACUUGGCCAUUUUCCAUCCUGAGCUGGUACAGGGAGUGCAGAGAUUUCAGGAUUUCUGCAGGAUUUGGAUCCAGGAUUGCAGGAUUUGGCUGGUGUUUGGUGACAGCAGUGACACUGUGAACCUGCCAGCAGGGAGCUGGGGGGUGUUUCACCUGUGCUCCUUGUGAAAUGGUGCUAACUGAAAACUGCCUGAAACUCCGCUGCACAACAGGAAGUUGGAUUUGCAGUGGCAGUCAGAUUUACAGAAUGCCAGAAAUGAAAUCCACACCAGACUGUCCAGGAAAAGCUAAGAAUGGCCACUCAGGGUCCUUCUGAUGCCUCCCACCUGGGUAAAUACUGCUGUUCCCAGUGAAUGCCCCCACAGAUGCCAGCUGCCUGCUCCAAAGUGAGCUGCUGUGUGGCAGGAUCCUUUUUGUUGGCAAGAAGGUGAUCCUUCAGAUUCAAUCUGACUGCUUUAUUUGCACUAAAAACCAGGGGAAUGCAAAGAGCAGCUCCCCUGGGAAGCCCAGGCACUGCUGGGGAGGGCUGGCAGACCAGGGACCUGGACUGGGGAUCCUGGAGGUGCCUUUGCAGCAGGCUCUUGUGGCACUCAGCCUUCAGGUCUGUCUUCUCUUGUGCUGGUGUUUGCCAGCUGUGUUUUGAGCCUCACAGUCAGGGCUGAGCACGGCCUUCACUGGGAUAAACUUGUUUUCCCCUCUCAGGUUGCCUGGCAGUGGCACUGAGCACAAGAACUUUUGGGUCAGCACAAGGGGUGUAUCUUUCUCUGCAAACAGCAAAGGCAA